ACGCUCGACACCUACGGGAGACAGCAGUGGGGAAUAUUGCACAAUGGGGGAAACCCUGAUGCAGCGACGCCGCGUGGAGGAAGAAGGUCUUCGGAUUGUAAACUCCUGUUGUUGGGGAAAAAGAGGAUGGUACCCAACAAGGAAGUGACGGCUAACUACGUGCCAGCAGCCGCGGUAAUCUGAGCGGGCUGGCAAGGC
rnacentral:rRNA from 1 species